AGGUUUAUUGAGCAAAAUUUCUGGAGGGGUAAAGGUUUGCAUGUCCAUCCCGAACUUUCUGAUCACACAGCUGCCUUCUGGAUGGGAAGUGCAAAGGCAGAGGUGCUGGAUUGGUGCUCCUGCUCUGCAGACACCCUCUGCUUCAUAAUUCCAACAGGCUGAUGCCAAACCUCACGGGAUCCCAAUGAAGAAAGGGAAGAAAAAAAAAUUAAUUUAACAAAGAAAGGAGAACAGAUUAAAUCAUGGAGGAUAUAUUACACUGAGCAAAUGGAGUAACAGCCUGAUUGAACACAGACAGGGUUCGCUCAGAAACCCUUCUUUCUUUACAAGUGGAACUUUAACGAGCUGACCAGGUCUGAGGUAAGUCAGGCUUUUUCUCCAUUCUGCAGAUUUUUUGGUUUAUUAUUUUCUCCCCUGACUGAGUGCUGGUUGCAACAGAUUAACAGGUCACCGGACUGGCCCAGAGAAUUGCUGCCAAUUACCUCGUCCCCGCCUGUUGCUCUACAGUCUAAUGGCAUCAUUUAACAUGCGCCUCUGUCCCCGCCGCCCGGCUGGUGACACCAACAAACAGCGCGGCUGGGAUGAAUCUGCCUGGGCAGGGUGAGCAGGAGCCCGCAAAGGGACACGGAGGUGUCGGGCCCUGCCCAGCCGGGAGCAGCGGGGCCGCUCCGCUCGCCCCGGUCCGAGUGUCCGAGACCGAGCCUCAGCUCUUCCCCCUCAGACAGCAGCGACGGCGAGAGACAUCUGAACCAACACCGCAUCGUUUACUUACAGAAUUGACAGCCCUUCCACUCGAACUGGUUUAAAUUAGUCGACGCCACAUUCUUUUCCUUCUGUGUGUUUUGUUUUCCGCCUUUUUUUUUUUUUCUUUCUUUCCCCCCUUUAAAUAGGGAUAGAAAACUGCGCUGUUUCACCCAGCCGAACGCGAAACGGUCCGGCGGAGGGGAGGGAGAGGCGGCGGGGUGAGCGAGGGAGAUGGGAUGCGCAGGCAGGAGAUGCGCGCCCGCGGGAGGCUGCGGAGCGCUCCGCGGGUGCGGGUCCCGCCCGGGCUGGGCAGCGCUUCUCACCCCUGGCUUCCUCACGGGAACUCCCGGACUUGUGCGGAUGGAAAAGUGGGGGCAUUAAAAUCAAAUUACAGGCAUGUAUAAAGACAGAGCCCUUCGCUGGCAGCAGGAAUGAUUAAACGGAGCAGCUCGGGAAAGCUCCUGUAUGAAUAUUUCAUGGGAAAUGAUGCGAUCCCCCCCAAGGUACAAGGGCCCUCCUUAAUUAAACUGGUGUAAACGUU